rnacentral:rRNA from 1 species
GGUAACAUUGUAGCUUGCUACAGAUGACGACCGGCGCACGGGUGAGUAACGCGUAUGCAACCUGCCUUUGACAGGGGGAUAGCCCGGAGAAAUCCGGAUUAAUAUCCCAUGGUAUUUACGAAUCGCAUGGUUUGUAAAUUAAAGAUUUUAUCGGUCAAAGAUGGGCAUGCGUGACAUUAGCUAGUUGGUAAGGUAACGGCUUACCAAGGCUGCGAUGUCUAGGGGUUCUGAGAGAUGAUCCCCCACACUGGUACUGAGACACGGACCAGACUCCUAC